rnacentral:pre_miRNA from 1 species
ACCUCUGCUCCAGGUGAGAGAAACACGUAUCAGAGUUUCAUGGCUAGCUUAAACUAGGCACCACCAUUUCCUAUGGAGAUCGAAAUUAAGGAAGAAUGAGUGGUUUUGUUUGAUCCUAUGAUACAUGUCGCUCUCACCUGGAGCAGAGCUGC